ensembl:lncRNA
CAGAACAAGACAGAACACCCAGGCCAGCCCUUCCCCCAGGAGCCAGAAGGGCCAGCUCUGGCCGGAAGCCAGGCUCUGAAGAAACGGCAGAGGGCAGAGAGAGGCGGUGGGUGGGGCAGGGAGCCUGGCGUUACACAUCCAAAGCCUAAUUUUGGAUCAGAGUCAUACUUGUAGUCAGGCCUGAAAAAUCACUGGUCCCCGAAUGAACCCACAGCUCUGAGGUGGGUCCGGGGCGAUUCCUCAGCUCUCACAUGCUCACUUGCUGCUCUCCUUAGUUCCAGAGACUAAGUCAGGCUUGUUUGGAUUUUCACUGGCAUCCUUUUAAAGCAACCUCAAUUGUCUCUUUGCCUCCUGCUACCUGAGAGCAGGGCAAAUUUCCCACCUCCAUCUCUCCGUGUUCGCCUUAGCUGAGAUGCUGACCGAAAGCCGGGAUCCCUGGUGCUCCUGCUUCCUGAGUCAGACCUAGGACACACCACCUGCUUUAUUAAAAUUAAAAAAAUUAAAAAUUUUUUGGGCACAUGUGGCCUGUGGAAUCUUAGUUCCCCCACCAGGGAUCAAACCCCCACCGCCUGCAGUGGAAGUAGGGAGGAGUCUUAACCCCUGGACAGCCAGUCCCACACCAUCCUGCUUCGAGGUGACACCAGACGGGUAGGGUGAGGGCAGCAGCGGGUGACCGACCGAGCAGACACCUUCCCCUGAGCAGUAGAAACGACCCUCUCUGACUCAAUGGAGAAGAGAGGAGGCAGCUGGCCUCUGGGAGCCACGAGAGGGACGCGGGCUGCUCGCUCGUCUUCCGAGGGCGUGGGCACGGCCUUCGGAGGAUUUGCUGCUGCCAGGAGCCGGCUGUGGCCCCCGGGGAACUCCGGGUAUCAGGACGCUUGUUUGCAGAGCCGGCCGGCCAGCCGCCCGGAGCAGGAGCAGCUGGUUGUAAUUAUGCAUCGCAGCUUCAGAGGAAGUUGCUGGCUGCGGAUCCAAUGCUGGGCCCGGCUGCACACUGGCUGCUGGGCUUCAGGGAACAAUGGAGAUAGAAACUCGCGGCAGCAGGGGAAGGGGAGGAGGAGCAGGACGAGGGUGAAGACGAGCAGAGAGAAAGGGCGGGAGCUGUUCCCACCGCUCCCAGGGCUGAAUCCGGAGAAACCCAGCUGUACCUGCUGAACACCGGAUUUCAAGAAGUGUGCCUGGCUGACAUAUCGAAUAGCACUCCUCAGCCUGUUUAAUCUAAAUUGACUGCAUCUUUGUAGCAGCUGGCCACAGAGAAAAACAAAAGAAUUCUUGAUGAAAAAGGCACUUCUCUCCUGACUCAAGGCAGCCACAGCAGCAGCUAAACAUUUCAUAGCAUGCUACACACUGCUGUUCAGAUGUGGACAUUGGGAGGGAAGGAAAAAAUGAACUUUACAGAAGUGAAAUGUGCGUUAAUUAACAAGUUAGGGUUUUCUCCCCCACCCUGGAUGGAGAGAAAUGAGAAACGUAUUAAUGUCUGGUUCUUUAUACUUUCCAAGAUUUCUUCAGCGUUUCCUAAUUAAAAUGUAGCUGGAAAAUGAACACAGGGGAGAGGGUGGUA